CACGUAGGGGGCGAGCGUUGUCCGGAUUUAUUGGGCGUAAAGAGCUCGUAGGCGGCUCAUUGCGUCAACCGUGAAAUCCUGCUGCUCAGCGGCAGGUCUGCGGUUGAUACGGGUGGGCUGGAGUUCGGUAGGGGAGACUGGAAUUCCUGGUGUAGCGGUGAAAUGCGCAGAUAUCAGGAGGAACACCGGUGGCGAAGGCGGGUCUCUGGGCCGAUACUGACGCUGGGGAGCGAACAGG
rnacentral:rRNA from 1 species